CAAUAGCGUAUAUUAAAGUUGUUGCAGUUAAAAAGCUCGUAGUUGGAUUUCUGGUGGGAGCGAUCGGUCUGGCGCUUAGCGCGAGUACUUGCAUCGUCUCCGGCCAUCCUUGGGGAGAGUCUGUCUGGCAUUAGGUUGUCGGGCAGAGGAUCCUCAUCGUUUACUGUGAAAAAAUUAGAGUGUUCAAAGCAGGCUUAUGCCGUUGAAUAUGUUUGCAUGGAAUAAUAAGAUAGGACUUUGGUACUAUUUUGUUGGUUUGCGCACCAAAGUAAUGAUUAAUAGGGACAGUUGGGGGUAUUCGUAUUCCGUUGUCAGAGGUGAAAUUCUUGGAUUUACGGAAGACGAACUACUGCGAAAGCAUUUACCAAGGAUGUUUUCAUUAA
rnacentral:rRNA from 1 species